rnacentral:lncRNA from 1 species
AUCUAAAAAGGCUGGUCCCAGAGGCUCGCGUUAGGCAGCGCUGAGCUGAACGGGCUUUUGGAAGGGAUCGCCUGGUGCUUAGGGGAUUUCCACGGGGAGCGGAGAUGAGACACCAAAGCGAGCGCUCGCCAAACUGGCUCAGGCACCAGCAGCGCUGGAACUAGUUGGAUCAGCAGCUCAGCCUGCAGAUGCCCAAUAAAUGGAACCAUCACCAGAGAAGCAACAGGGAUGUGCAGCCAGAGUCAGGCUGGGAUCACCUCUUUUGACAGAAAUAUCAUCUUGGGCGUGAGGCCAAAGUGCUUGCACCAGUGCCGCUACCAUGAGAGAAGACGAACGUUUUGGAUACUUUAAGCAGAGGAGGAGUCAGAGAAGCAGGAAUACUCCCUGUCUGUCCCCUGGCAAUUACAGAAUGUAUGCCAGAAGCUCCUUCUUCAAAGAUAUAUCUACACAAAAAUUCUCAGGUUGCUGGCAUCUGAAAAGGGAAGCAGAAACUGAAUACCUGCAUGUGCAUUUUUACAGAGCUGGAGAAUUUUGCAGUGUUGGAACAAGAAGUUGA